CUCCAUCUUUAGGAGCUGGGUCCAAGGGGGACCCUGGGGGGGCCGCUCACCGAGACGCUGCGGCUGGGGCCUCUCGCUAUGAAUCAGCCCUUUCGGUUUCCCCUGACUUGUGAACAUCUGCCAGGUGGCGUGAAGGCCUGCGUCACCCGCUCCCGAGCUGACUCGCGCUCCCGCCCAGGGCUCUCUGUUUCAGUCAGCGCUGGAUCCCCCGGGCCUUCCUGCCCGCUGGGGACUCCCGGCCCCCCGACAGAGGCGAGCGCCGCCGCGCUCCUGCACGGGGGAGAUCAGUCUGCACUACGGCCUCGCUGGAGUCGCGCUGCACCGGCUGAGGGGGCGCCCGAGGAUCCGGCCCACAGCCGCUCACUUGGGAAUCUUCUCCGCAGCUUCACCGAGCACUUCAGCCCCUCAUCUACAGCCCCCCUCCCCUCCUGCUCCAGUUCUGCGCUUUUCGCUCCGUCUGACGGGCUGAGGCUGACGGCAUUUCUUCAGGUCCACCGUUCUCAGGCAGCUUCUUCACGAAAUGAAUCAUUACAGGAAAUGGUUUGAGAUCGAAUUUCUUUUAAUAAAUGUGUUGUUACUUAAAUGCUACAGAUACCUUAUGAAAUGUUUUUGUCCUUGAAUUGGUUUAAUAAUGUGAUAGCUAAAGAUCAGUUAAACAUUGGUCUGUUUACUUGUAGGGUGUGAGGUAGGGUGGUGUCUCUCGUUGCUGCCUUACAGAUCUUAGAUCUUGGGUUCUGUUAUGGACUGGGAGCACUGUCUGCGUGGAGGCUGUAGAUUAUGUCAGUCCUUGCUCCGGUUUUCCUCCACCUCCAAGAGGUACUCCAGUGGGAUGAAGUGGUUUCUCUGAAUCGUCCCUGUCUGCUUGUGUGUGCAUCCUCUCCUCUCCAGGGUGCAAUCCCAGGAAUAUCCAGGUUCCUGCUAAUGGAUAGAUGCAUAAUAUAUGCACAAUUUGCACUGAAGCUGCAACUGUGGGAGUCUUCCUGAUACAGACUGAGAGAUGAUGAUUUGAAACUGCUGAAGAGUUUCAUUAGUAAGGUAGAGAGAACAAGAGCUACAGUCUUCCACCUGCUACUGAAGACACCCGGAGCGGCGGCUGUGGUCCCACGACUCGGGAGAAGGCAGGGAGAUCGCCCUCGCCGCGGUACUGGCCUGCCAGGAGAUAAGGAAGAGACUGCUUGAGCUGAGCACCAUCCCUGGAGGAGGCCCUCAGGGGUUGUAGUCAGGCAGUAGAUGCUGAUCAGGUUCAGAAGAAGAUCGGCUUAGACAGUGAAACCAAGGGGAAUGCCUCAAUCGGACUCUGCCGUGAUCGUGUGAAGCUCACAGACGCCGACCUAAGGUCAAUAAAAAGCAAUCACUUCCAGAGCUGACAUUCACAUUUUCACAUCCUCCUGUUAGGUUCUUAUCCUUUCCUCACCUGUCGCCAGAGCCUCCCCGCUGCACGUGCUCUCCAGAUGUGCUGCUCUUGAAGGGCAGGCCGCUCCUUCCAGAUGUGCGAGCUCCCAGCUGGAGAGCCAGCAGCUGAUGUACAGUGGUUCAACACCGGGAGUGAUCAAGGCCGCUGUAGAGGAGAGGCACCGCAGUGUUGCUGACAGAACAAGACCCGAGGUCACGCUGCUGCACCCGGACUGAAGGGCCGCUCGGAGCCGGGCUGGCGACUGGCGAGCGCACAGCUCAGCGGCAGGGAUCCCCACGCCGCGACCGGCACCCGGAAUGGAACCCCAGUGGUCAAAACACGGUUUAAAGUGGUCAUUUGUGGUGGCAGAACGAAC